UGGGGAAUUUUGGACAAUGGGGGCAACCCUGAUCCAGCCAUGCCGCGUGAGUGAAGAAGGCCUUCGGGUUGUAAAGCUCUUUCGGCCGGGAAGAAAUCGUCUGGGUGAAUAAUCCGGAUGGAUGACGGUACCGGAAGAAGAAGCACCGGCUAACUACGUGCCAGCAGCCGCGGUAAUACGUAGGGUGCGAGCGUUAAUCGGAAUUACUGGGCGUAAAGCGUGCGCAGGCGGCUUUGUAAGACAGCUGUGAAAGCCCCGGGCUUAACCUGGGAACGGCGGUUGUGACUGCAAGGCUAGAGUUCGGCAGAGGGGGGUGGAAUUCCUGGUGUAGCAGUGAAAUGCGUAGAGAUCAGGAGGAACACCGAUGGCGAAGGCAGCCCCCUGGGCCGCGACUGACGCUCAGGCACGAAAGCGUGGGGAGCAAACAGG
rnacentral:rRNA from 1 species